ensembl:lncRNA
GCCUUCAGGACAGCUGCAGCCGCCCUAGGAAGAGCUUCUGACACUGUCCACCUCGAAGCAACCUCUACCUAUGCCACCAUCAGAGCGAUCUCUGACGCCGUCAACGCAGCCUUUGGAGCUUCCACCCUUGAAGCAAGCUCCGCCGCCCUCGAAGCUGCCUUUGUAGCAUUGGAAAGAUUUUCUGUCACACCCAAAGAAGCCUCUGGCGCUGCCUUGCUCGAUGCAGCUUCUGCUGCCAUCGAUGCAGCCUCUGCCACCCUCGAAGCAGCCUCUGAUGCUGCCGCCUCCGAGGUCGUCUCUGCUGCCCCAGAUGUAGCCUCCGUCGCUACCACUCCCAAAGCAGCCUCUGCCUCUCCCGAAGCAGCUUCUGAUGCUGCCACCCCCGAAGCAUCCUCUGACGCUGCCGCCCCGGAAGCAGCCUCUGACGCUGCCGCCCCAGAAGCAGCCUCUGACGCUGCCGCCCCCGACAUAGCCUCUAUCGCUACCACCCCAGAAGCAGCCUCUGACGCUACCGCCCCCGACGUAGCCUCUGUCGCUACCACCCCAGAAGCAGCCUCUGAUGCCACUGACGUAGCCUCCGUCGCUACCGCUCCCGAAGCACCCACUGCUGCCCCCGACGUAGUCUCUGUUGCUAGCAACCCCGAAGCAGCCUCUGUCGCUGCUGUCCCUGAAGCAGCCUCUGAUGCCACUGACGUAGCCUCCGUCGCUACCGCUCCCGACGCACCCACUGCUGCCCCCAACGUAGCCUCUGUUGCUAGCAACCCCGAAGCAGCCUCUGUCGCUGCUGUCCCUGAAGCAGUCUCUGAAGAAAUUGCUGAUGGUGACGCCACUGAGGCCUACGCCACAGCAGAACCAGCCGCCGCAGAUCAAGCCGCCGCUCUCCCUGCAGACCGAGCCGUCGCUCACCCUGCAGACCCGGCCGUCGCUGACCCUGCAGACCCAGCCGUCGCUGACCCAGCAGACCCAGCCGACGCUCACCCAGCUUGUGCGUACCCUACAGCCAGCACUGCCGACCCGGACCCCGCAGCCACCGCUGCCGACCCGCACCCCGCAGCUGACCCGGACCCUGCUGCCACAGCUGCCAACCAAGAUCCUCCAGCAUCCGUUUCCGAUGCAGGCCCAGCAGCACCCUCUGCCGAGACCGGUCCAGCAGCACCUUCUGAUGGCGUCGCUGCUGAGGGCUCUGCUGUUCCAAGCGCCCCUGGCCGGAGUGCCCCUGUCCCGAGCGCCCCUGUCCCGAGCGCCCCAGGCUCCCCUGUCCCGAGCGCCCCAGGCUCCCCUGUCCCGAGCGCCCCAGGCUCCCCUGUCCCGAGCGCCCCAGGCUCCCCUGUCCCGAGCGUCCCAGGCUCCCCGGUCCCGAGCGUCCCAGGCGCCCCGGUCCCGAGCGUCUCCGGCGUUCCUGUCCAAGGUGUCCUUGCGCCGGUUCCAGGCGUCCAUGCGCCGGCCCCAGGCGCUCCGGACCCUGUCUCCAGUGUUCCUGGGUUCCCUGUCCCAGCUGCAGCAGACCCAGGAUUCGGUGCUGCCAGCCCUAAUGAUCCAGCGAGUCCAGGUGCCACGUCUACCCCAGCCACUGGCCCUGCAACCCCAAACACCAAUCGAUAUCGCUGGCAUCUAUUUGUUGUUAGGGUUGUUGUUGUGUUUAUUGUUGGUCU